GACGAACGCUGGCGGCGUGCUUAACACAUGCAAGUCGAACGGAAAGGCCCUGCUUGCCGGGUACUCGAGUGGCGAACGGGUGAGUAACACGUGGGUGAUCUGCCCUGCACUUCGGGAUAAGCUUGGGAAACUGGGUCUAAUACCGGAUAGGAGCCAUCUUUAGUGUGGUGGUUGGAAAGUUUUUUCGGUGUAGGAUGAGCUCGCGGCCUAUCAGCUUGUUGGUGGGGUAAUGGCCUACCAAGGCGGCGACGGGUAGCCGGCCUGAGAGGGUGUACGGCCACAUUGGGACGGAGAUACGGCCCAGACUCCUACGGGAGGCAGCAGUGGGGAAUAUUGCACAAUGGGCGCAAGCCUGAUGCAGCGACGCCGCGUGGGGGAUGAAGGCCUUCGGGUUGUAAACUCCUUUCGCUAGGGACGAAGCUUUUUUGUGACGGUACCUAGAGAAGAAGCACCGGCUAACUACGUG
rnacentral:rRNA from 1 species